GUGUGUAAUGAAUGUCGUCACAAAACUUUCUGCAACUUUCAUCUUCUGUUUAAGGUUGACGGCAUCCUUGACAGCCUAUCACCAGGCUGACGACGUGUCAUGGAUGUCGUCAGCCACACUUUGUUCUUUAUUUUCUUUUGAUUUCAUGUUUUUUGCUUCCUUUAUUUGUGGUUCCCCUUCUACUCUACUUAUACUGCAAAAUCAAAGUAAACUAAUCAAAAAACGACUAAAGUUACUCAAGACUUUGCAAUUAUUUAGAAAGCUGUAAAUGUGUUAGCAUGGGCUCACACAUCAACCUACACUGGGGUCCACUAACAAGGCUGUUCGGGGGAGUAUAUGGUCGAUAGUGGCUGUGAGAGCUUUCCACCCACUCCAUACACCUGACAGCUCCCCUUCCUAAAAUAAGGGUGACUCAAUUAGAGGUCAUGUACACACGUGCACUACGAAUUUGUUGCGAAAAAAAUGACUCGGGUUAUGCACAUAAUGCCAGAUAUAAAGUGGUAACACAUAAUAAAAACUAUAAACAUGCAACACAUAGGUAAUCAACAAUGAUAAAAUAAAUACAAACGAUAACACAAACAAUGUUUAUACACACAUAAUUUCAAACUAUGCCGAUACAACUCCAAAAGUAAGCUCGGAUUCUGAAAAUUUCUCCAGCAGAGUCGUCAAUGCUGUCACCCCCUUUUUUAACCAAAAAGAUGGAUUUUAAUGUUUGAAAAGGUUUUAUUAUCUAAGUGACAAAAGAUUUAAAAUUUAUUUCAAAAAAAAGAUUAUUUACAUUUUUUAUUCAGAGUCGCCACUUGACAUAAGCCGGUGUGCCAAGUCACCUUUGAAAAAUUCUUUUCAAAACUUUGACUCUUUAAAACUGGUUUGCUAACAGAGAUUCCAAGUAAUGAAUUCUGUUGAUCGAGGCGAAGGUGUUAGGCACCCCUCGAUCCCGUGGUUCGGCCACGGUCUCUUGGUGAAUUAUAUCGGCUCGUAAGACACUAUGAAUAUAUAAACCCAUAAAAACACAUAAAAGAAUCAAACAAACACAUCAAACACAAUCCAAAACCACAAUAAUAACGUUCAGUCCAAUUAUACAGUCCAAAAUAGUCCUAUUCUAAACUAGUCCUAAACUAAGCUCCACCCGACGCCUCGGGCCUUCGUCACGAACAUCUUUCAGGUACAAAAUACUUCGGGGCAUUCUCCGACCAGAUGAUACAUUUGAUCAAGCACGAUAAACUAGAAAACAUUCAACACACAUUCCACAUUCAAACAUUCAACAAAACACUUAUUCCUAAAUUUUUCCUACCCGAACCUAUACUUGUCUAUUCAUUUCAACAUGUCAUAAUUCUAUCACGUUCCAACGACAAUCAUGCUUAUUCCGAAUUAAACAAAACAACAAUAAAUCAAAAUUGAUCUAUGUUCACCCUUUUUAUCAAUUUCACAAUUCUACCCCAUCUAACUUCAUUUUUUAUCAAUCACACUAUCAAAACUACUCAAAUUCGUUUCACAUAUCACCAAAAUCACAUCAUCAAGCACAUAAUCAUAACAUUAACAAAAUCCAACAAUCAUAAUCACCCCACACAUAAUCACAACAUCGAUGCCAAAUUAAAAGAAAUAAGGAGUAAGAGUUAUAGAGAUGGACCUUCCGAAUGCUCUCAAUUGAUUAAGAAGAGAAUAAAAGCGGUCCUGAAACCUAGAAGAAUACCACAAUCUCAAUCCCGAACCAGUAAUUGGACUGGUUUAAAACUGUGAUGAAAUUGAAUUUUGAUUCAAACCAAGGAAACCUUGAAGAGUCAAUGAAUACCCGAAACCAAAACUCAAAAAAAAAAUGAGAAUCCGUAUGACAAUUUCGACGAGACUUUAAUGGAGUCGGAGUAAACUGUCGACUUUUCUGACUUGUCGACUGGACUGAUGUUUUCAGGCUGGAUUUCACCAGAGAAACCAAAAAAAAUGAGAAAAGUGUCUGGGGAUUUCAAUAUUGGGACAAAUUUAAGCUCGGGAUACUUGAACUUGACUAGAAAAUACCGUUUCCGGCGACCCCUGGUGUUUUUUGGUCAGAUUCCGGUGCUAAUUUUGGUGGGAUUGCGCCGAUUUCGUUGUUUAUUUGCCAAAUCUCUCAAAAUCCUUUCAUUCUUUCGAUUCUCUCCCUCUCUCUGCUUUGCUCUCUCUCUUCGUUACUCUCUCUUUCUCUCCGUUACUCUCUUUGUGUGUGUGAGUAUAUGUGUAUGUCUUUAUUCACUGGUUGUGUUGUGUGUGUGUAAUGUAUUGUAGUAUGUGUUAGUGGGUGUGUAUUGAAUAAAUGGAGGAGUGUGUAGGUGUCCAUUAAUGGUGGAGAGAUAGUUUGUGAGUAUAUUCUUGAAAGUGUUUUCUUUUUUGAGAAAGAAGAUGAUGAGUGUUUUCAAUGAAAAUUUCCUCUUCUUUUUGGCCCUCUGUGUCUAUGUGUAUAUCCUCUCCUUUCUUUGUGAAAAGAAACGUGGGGGUGGGGGGGG
rnacentral:lncRNA from 1 species